rnacentral:tRNA from 1 species
GCCUUGAUGGUGAAAUG